GUGCUCACUUCAGCAGCACAUAUACUAAAAUUAGAACAAUUUAGAGAAUAUUAGCAUGGAUACCCUGUGCAAGAAUGACAUGCAAAUUCAUGAAGAGUUCCAUAUUAAA